UGGGGAAUUUUGGACAAUGGGGGCAACCCUGAUCCAGCAAUGCCGCGUGUGUGAAGAAGGCCUUCGGGUUGUAAAGCACUUUUGUCCGGGAAGAAAUCGCACCUGAUAAUACCGGGUGUGGAUGACGGUACCGGAAGAAUAAGGACCGGCUAACUACGUGCCAGCAGCCGCGGUAAUACGUAGGGUCCAAGCGUUAAUCGGAAUUACUGGGCGUAAAGCGUGCGCAGGCGGUUGUGCAAGACCGAUGUGAAAUCCCCGGGCUUAACCUGGGAAUUGCAUUGGUGACUGCACGGCUAGAGUGUGUCAGAGGGGGGUAGAAUUCCACGUGUAGCAGUGAAAUGCGUAGAGAUGUGGAGGAGUACCGAUGGCGAAGGCAGCCCCCUGGGAUAACACUGACGCUCAUGCACGAAAGCGUGGGGAGCAAACAGG
rnacentral:rRNA from 1 species